UAAUUUCAACGUACAUGUGUAAUAAAGUAAAGUGUUGUGGUGUGUUUAAGUUGACUAAUUGUCUCUAGACACUUGACCAAAAUUGUCGGUCGAAUGGGUCAACAAUAAACAUGUGAAUUGUAACCAGUCUGGUCGCCUACUCUCGGUGUCCUUGAUAAUAUAUGAGCAUUUUUCUCAU